GACGAACGCUGGCGGCGUGCCUAACACAUGCAAGUCGAACGGUAAGGCCCUGCCUUUGUCUUGUGCUCGAGUGGCGAACGGGUGAGUAACACGUGAGUAACCUGCCUUUUACUUUGGGAUAACUUCUGGAAACUGGGGCUAAUACCGCAUAACAGCACCUGCUGCAUGGUGACGGUUGGAAAGUUUCGGCGGCUGGGGUUGCAGUUGCGGCUGAUCAGCUUUUUGGAGUGGUAGCGGUAUCCCAAGGCGUUGACGGGGAGCCGGCCUGGGAGUGUGACCGGGCACAUUGGGCCUGAGGAAGGGGCCGGAGUGAAACGGGGGGCAGCGGUGGGAAACAUAGCGCGAUGGGCGGAAGCAGUGUGGAACAACGCCGGGUGCGGGAGGACGGCUUUCGGGUAGUAAACCGCGUGCGCCUGUGACGAAGCGUGAGUGACGGUAACGGGUAAAGAAGCACCGGCUAACUACGUG
rnacentral:rRNA from 1 species